CAGUUUGGUCUUCACAUGUAAAUUGGCGCUUACAAAGUCUUAAAUGAUCUGGUCCUCACUAUCUCUGCAACAUCUCUCACCUGCCUGUCCUAUCAAAAAGUAUAAUUAAAAGAAAAAGUGCUCAUAAUUUACUCCUCAUUUCAUAACCUUGAUUGCACUUAGUUCUGUCUUGACUCGAGGAUUAACGUUUGCCAUUUUUUUCUGCCUGUAUCCAGCCCUUGUUCCUGCCUCCUUCACCUGGCUAACCCAUAUUCAUUCUGUCAUUUUCAGCUUCAUGACACUUUUUCAUGGAAGCCUUCUUCCCUGACUCUGGAUAUCUGGACUCUCCAAUCUGAAUGAGUAGGAACGAGAAAAUGAGGCUCUCUCUCUCCUCAUCUCCCAGUUAAAGGAUAUGCUAUCUCACCAGAAGAGUGAAAGCCUACAGACAAUCAUUAAGAAUUUUAAAAUAGGGCCUCAUGGCAAGAUGGCUGAAUCGAAACAGCUCCGGUCUGCAGCUCCUGGUGAGACCAACACAGAAGGUGGGUGAUUUCUGCAUUUUCAACUGAGGUACCCUAUUCAUCUCAUUAGGACUGGUUAGGCAGUGGGCACAGCCCACAAAGGGCAAGCAGAAGCAGGAUGGGUCGCACUAGAUUUUAUUGCUUACAUCUAAUUGCAUUUUGUACCCAUUAACUGAUUGUCUUUAUUCCCCUCUCAUGCUAUUCAUCCCAGCCUCUGCUACCCACCAUUCCACUCUCUACCCUCAUGAGAUCAUUUUUUUAAAGCUCCCACAUAUGAGUGAGAACAUGUGAUAUUUGUCUUUCUAUGCUUGGCUUAUUUCACUUAAUGUAAUGUCUUCCACUUCUAUAGAUGACAUUGCAAAUUACAGGAUUUUAUUCCUUUUUAAUGGCUGAAUAAUAU